UGAGAGAGAAAGAGUUGGCUUAAAUUUCAUUUUCUUUAAUGAUAAUGCAAAUGCACUACCUUAGUGAUGAUGAAACUCACUUGCAUUGGAUGCACCAAUUCUCAUCCAUUGGAUCAAAACCUAUCUACUUGAUCCUAACCAUUCAUUCUCCUAUAAAUAAGCAUGCAAGGCUCCUUGUUUUCCACACAAAUCCUAGACAACUCUCUUGAAAGCUUUGUGCUUUGGUUUUCUCUCCCUUUUCUCUCCAUCUACCACACCACCACUUUGGUGUUCUUGAAGUCAUUUUUCUGUCCAAAUCAAAUUGAAAAGGAGCUAAGAAAUUACACGAAGGAGGUUGCUGAUGCAGAUCUGGAGGACGAAGGCAUGGACUCAUAUGCCUGUUUUAAUGGUUUUUGAAACUAUUGCUGUAGCUAUAUGUGCUAGCUUAGAAAUUGCUAGGCAUAUUUAUGCGUGUUUUAUUUCAAGGCCUGUAAUAAUUAUGAAGAUGUUUUGUUUGGUGUAUUUUUAUGUUGUAUAUGAGCCAUUCGUGGCACUUAUUUUAAUGAACCUAGUGUGCAAAUGGCGUGUAA